rnacentral:rRNA from 1 species
GAAAAAUUAAAUAUUAUUGGUUUAACAGUUAGAUUUAAUUGUCUUUUAAAUUUAAUAUUUUUAGGUGAAAUUUUAAUUUUAUUAUAAAAAGAAGUAUUGAAGCUGUGAAAUUUAUUUUAUAAACAAGGAUUAGAUACCCUUUUAUUUUAAAUGUAAAUUAUAAUUAGGGUAGUAAUAGUUAUGUUCUUGAAACCCAAAGAAUUUGGCGGUAUUUUAUUCUUUUUAGAGGAACCUGUCCUGUAAUUGAUAAUCCACGAUAGGUAAUUACUUACUCUUGUAUUCAUUUUGUAUACCUCCGUCAUCAGAUUAUAUUUUCAGAUUUAAUAUUCUUUUAAUACAAAAUAUUAUAUGUCAGGUCAAGGUGCAAUUUAUGAGUAAGUAGAGAUGGGUUACAAUAAAUUUAUUUAUACGGAUUAAUUUUAUUAAUAAAAUUAUGAAGGUGGAUUUAAAUGUAAAAUUAUUCCUUUAAUAAUUUGAUCUUAGCUCUAAAAUAUGCACACAUCGCCCGUCGCUCUUAUUUUAAAAUAAGAUAAGUCGUAACAUAGUAGGAGUACCGGAAGGUGUUCCUAGGAAGGUA